UUGGUUGUUAUGCAAAGUUUCAAUAUGUUUGUUUGAUAAUAUAAACACGUUUUCAUGUGUUUGAAGGUCGCAAAAGCUUAACAUAAGUGGCAACCACACUUUGUAUUACGUUUCGUCUCAUAUAUCAUGAAGAACAACCAAGUAUUUCAGGCUGGGAUCAUGCUGAGCAACCUCAACCAAGGAAAACUGAGGCGAGGGCGAGUAGGUCCCUGAGGAGGACCACUGCAAAGGAGGUCAAGGAGAUUCUGGGAGCAACCUGCGAGCAACCUCUAGACCAGCCAGCAGGCACCUCUGACAAUGCCGCUGCCGGUGUCGACGCUGGCAGCCAUGGCCGGCGCCGAGCUGACGAGUUCCAGCCUGGAAGCUCAGCGCGAGGGCCGGCAUUUGUUGCCGGCUUCGUGGCAUACAAGUGUCACCACAUCGACGCCACCCUCGGUAGUCGGGUCUCCUGACUUCUCGGGCGCCGCCGGAGACACUGAACACCCUGUCGAACAGUUGAAUUGUGACGUUCAGCCGAGGCCAGCUGCUUGUUCCGUCACAAGCCUGGAUGGCCGCUGUGGAGGAGUUCGAGCGGAACUUCUGCCUGCUGAUGGGGGCAACUGCAGAUCAGGGGCCGCGAGUCAUACAGCGUCUCAUGUUGCUCAUCGCCGUCAAGCAGCCUCAGCUCGGCACCCGCGUGUCCAGGAAGUUGGCGAGCACCCGUCUCCACCUCCCCCUUCGGUCUCUUAGCCUGACUGGACGAGGUCUGGCAGCUGAAAAGAGCCAAUAGAAAAGUUGGCCAUCAUACAAGGAGCUCUAGGUGAGCUGCUGGUAAACCGGCUCGUGUAACGACUGUGCGACUCUGUGUGGUGCGGCUGGCUCUGUGUGGGUGCUGUGCGACUCGGCAUGGUACCUCCGGCUGUGUGUAAUGGCUUUGCGACUCGGUGUGGUACGGCCGGCUCUGUUGGUGCUGUGCAACUCGGCAUGGUGCCUCCGGCUGUGUGUAACGGCUAUGCGAUUCGGUGUGGUGCGGCCGGCUCUGUUGGUGCUGUGCAACUCGGCGUGGUGCCUCCGGCUGUGUGUACCGGCUGUGCGACUCGAUGUGGCACGGCCAGAUCUGUUGGUGCUGUGCAACUCGGCGUGGUGCCUCCGGCUGUGUGUAACGGCUGUGCGACUCGGUGUGGCACGGCCAAAUCUGUUGGUGCUGUGUGACUCGGCAUGGUGCC